GAUGAACGCUGGCGGCGUGCCUAAUACAUGCAAGUCGAGCGAACAGACGAGGAGCUUGCUCCUCUGACGUUAGCGGCGGACGUGUGAGUAACACGUGGAUACCCUACCUAUAAGACUGGGAUCACUUCGGGAAACCGGAGCUCAUACCGGAUAAUAUAUUGAACCGCAUUGUUCCAUAGUAAAAGACGGUUUUGCUGUCUCUUAUAGCUGGAUCCGCGCCGCAUUAGCUAUUUGCUAAGGUAACGGCUUACCACGGGAACGAUGCGUAGCCAACCUGGGAGGGGGAUCGGCACACCUGGAACGGGAAAACGGUCAAGACUCCUACGGGAGCAGGCAGUAGGGAAUCUUCGGCAAGGGGGGAAGGCCUGACGGGGCAACGCCGCGUGAGUGAUGAAGGUCUUCGGAUCGUAAAACUCUGUUAUUAGGGAAGACCAAAUGUGUAAGUAACUAUGCACGUCUUGACGGUACCUAAUCAGAAAGCCACGGCUAACUACGUG
rnacentral:rRNA from 1 species